UCUAAACAUUGAGAUCAUCUAAUGAAGUGAUCUGUGUGGGAUGAGGUUAAUGGAAAGAAAGCAUUCAGAGAAAAUAGGAUUUCAGGAACUGUUAGGGUGGAGAAAGGAAGAGCAGAGACAAGUGAGAGAAAAAGGACCAUUUGGAGGAAUAGAAAACCUGUGUGUUGGAAUGUCUAAUGGAGAGCCAAAGCAAUCUCGCCAUUGUGGAGUCCAGAGCACCCAGGAUGACAUCUGAAUCUCUUCUGCUGCCCUAGUUUCCCUAAAAGAUUCCUUGGCAAACCAUGUGAAUGAAAGCAUGAUCAUUAGAAAAAGGGCAUUUUAAA